CGUCCGCCGAGUCUCCCCGCGCUAGUCCCCAGCUCGCUCGCCCGCUCCGCACCGCUGCUCCUCCUCUCCCGCCGCCGUCCCCAGGGGGCGCCGUUCCCGAGAUCAGGACCGACUCCUGCGAGUCAGGCUCCUGUCGUGGCCCUGGCGCCUCGGAAAAAGUUCCGAGGUCCAGAGAAGACCCUCCUCAAGUCACAAGAGAUUCCCCCCUAAAAAAGUGUAAAAGUAAUUGUUUUACUUUACAAUUCUGAGCAUUCUCAAGUUUGUCCUGUUUUUAGAAAUCGAACAGGAUCCAAAAUUCCGGAAACCUAAAGAACCUGAAGAGGAGGCCUAUGUUGUAAAGGACUUGAGGAGGCAUAGGACAAAUUUGAUGCUGGUUGCAUUGUAAUAACAGGCUUCAUAAAAGUCUGUGUGUGUCAUGCUAGGCAAGAGCACAAGCUUGAGAAUCAAACUGGAGCAGCUUUCACUGAAGUUCUACAACUAUCUGCCUCAGCAAU